AGGGGGUUGCAAAUAGCCCAAUCAGCCAUGCUGUGACAUUGUUUACAAAACAAGAAGGGAUCAAAGUGCAUCAAGCACGCAGGUAUCACGGUUUUAGAUUAUUGAGUGACGGAAUAAUAUCGGUUCAGUGACACGGAAUCCGAGGAAAGUCUGUUCCUCCUGUGGCUCUCCUGUGCAGUAACAAAAAGAUGCGUGGCCACCACAAUUUAGGUACAAUGGGCAACAUAAUUAACAGGAUAAGCAACACCACGCAACAAAGUGCAAACACCAAACCGAUUGUGUUUAGUCAGACAUGCAAUCAGUUGAUGACGCCGCGAACACCCAACACGACUGGCGGUGCCCUGCAGGCCCAGAAUGUAAGGCGAAGUUCCAGGCUUUUUAGCAACAACAACUAUUCAGUGAAGGAGAACACCAAGAAUGAAUCGUCG